AUGAAAACAUCGAUUUCCUCAAUACAGCCAACUCUGUUUAUCUUCUUCACUCUAUCAUUCCUUUUUUCACAGAACCUGGACAAUGAGUCCACUUACAGUAUCAGCUUUAGGCCCAGCAUGAAUGCAGUACAUUCUUUCACUAAAAAGGCAUUGGUUCACAAUAGAAUAAAAAUAUAUUUUUCCUGCUUUUACUCAUGUUUCAAUGUGUGGCUCUGGAGCUAUUCAUGAAUUUGUGUUUUUCUGCAGUAGUUGCAAUGGCAGCUGAGAAAUAUUUUGCAAUGAAAAGAAAUUCAUUUUACUCUUUUAUAUGAAUAUGUGUGUUAUGUUCACUAUCUAAUGUUGCAUGACAAAAUCAUCCUGUAACCUAGUGUCUUAAAACAUCAAUAAUCAUUUAUUGUCUCUCACCAUUUCUGAUCAUCAGAAAUUCAAGAAUUGUUUGGCUGCACUAUUCUGGUUUUAAAUGUCUCAUGAGGUUGUAAUCAAAUGUCAACUAAGUCUACAGUUAUCUGAAAGUUUGACUGAGGCUGGAAAAUCUACUUCCAAAAUGACUCACUGACAUAUCUGGCAAGUUGGUGCUGGGUGUUGGCAGGAAACCUCAUUUUCUCUCUAUGUGGGCCUCUCUUCCUGAGCUAUUUGAAUGUUUCAUGUCAUGCUUGCCAGCUUCCUCCAAAGCAGGCAAUCUCAGAUUAAGAGAGAAGCUUCAAUGAAUUCUGUGAUCUUAAUUUGGAAGUCAUGCAGCAUCUUUUCCACCAUAUUCUUAUUGGUCAUACAGAAGCCCUGAUUCAGUGUGACAGUAGACUACACAAUGGUAGGAAUACCAGGAGGUAAGGACAAUCGGAAGCCAUCUUAGAAGCUGGUGUAUUAGUCAGGGUUCUCUAGAGGGACAGAACUAAUAGGAUAGAUGUAUAUAUGUAUAUGAAGUGGAGUUUAUUAAGGAGUUAUUAUUGACUCACGAUCACAAGAUAAAGUCUCACAAUAGGCCGCCUGCAAGCUGAGCAGAAAGGAAGCCAGUCUGAGUCCCAAAACAUCAGAAGUAAGGAAGCCAACAGUGCAGCCUUCAGUCUUUGGCUAACAGCCCAAGAGCCCAUGGAAAAACCACUGUUGUAAGUCUGAGAGUCCGAGAGCUGAAGAACUUGGACUCUGAGGGCAGGAAGCAUCCAGCAUGGGAGAAAGAUGGAGGCCAGAAGACUCAGCAAGUCAAGUCCUUCCAGCUUCUGCUUGCUUUAUCCUAGCUGCACUGGCAGCUGAUUAGAUGGUGCCCACUCAGACUGAGGGUGGGUCUGUCUAUCCCAGUCCACUGACUCAAUGUUAAUCUCCUUUGGCAACAUCCUCACAGACACCCAGAAACAAUACUCUUCAUCCUUCAAUCCAAUCAAGUUGAUGCAGUGUUAACCAUCAUAGCUGGCUACUGCAUAGGUUUAGAUACAAUGCAUAUUAACCAUGACAACAAUUUUUUAAAAAUCUUUUAGAAAUGGGGUCUUGCUAUAUUGCCCAGGCUGGAAUGCAGUGGCUAUUCACAAGUGCAAUCAUAAUGCACUACAGCCUCAAAUUCCUGGCAUCCCAUCUUCAGCCUACCAAGUAGCUGAGAUUAUAGGUGCAUGCCACUAUGCCUGGCCUGACAUCAAUUUUUUAUAUGGGAAAAUAGAUAUUGAACAUGAUAAUGCAAAAUAUUAGCUGGGCUAGUGCAUGCACCUGUAGUCUCUGCUACUCUAGAGACUGACAUAUGAGGAUUGCUUGAGCCCUGGAUUUUGAGGCUGCAUGAGCUGUGAUUGUGCCACUGAAUUCCAGCCUGGGUGACGGAGCAAGACUCUGACUCUAAAACAACAACAAAAAUAAUAAAUAAUUGAUGAUUUGCUGAAAUGUGCACCAGAAAGUAAACAUAUAAAAUAUAUGAAUUAUUAUUGUCUUUAUUAUAUCACUCCUGGGCUCAAGUGAUCAUUCUGCCU
rnacentral:lncRNA from 1 species